UCCUGGCUAGCUCAGUGAGUAGAGCAUGUGACUCUUGAUCUCGGGGUUGUGAGUUCGACCCCAUGUUGGGUG
rnacentral:tRNA from 1 species